CUUUUGCAGGGUUCAAAAAGGUCGGGAAAGGUAUUCGAGACUAUGAUGAGACUGCUCUGUAGCCUGGAAACAUGACUAAUCACAAACAGAAGAUUACCAUUUAUUUGCUUUACUGUUUUGCAAGUGAACCUAUGCAUCGUGCUGAUUGGCCGCGGCUACACGUGUUUGCAUAAUUGUAUUGGCUGAAGCGAAACCGGAAUGAUAAAAAUGACUGUGGGAUGCUAUGCUACUAUUCGGUUCAGGAAAGUUUGAGAUUCGAAGGGAAUGGAAUAUCGGAAUAUUAACCAAAGUAAAGGUGACAAGCCAGAUUCCCAAGUCAAGGAUGUUGCUUAUUCUUUCCUGCUCAAGGCCACAAAAAAUGG